AAAAACAUGUCCGUAUGAAAAAGCUGUAUACGGUCUGGCCUGCCCACUGACAUGAGUUUAAGGGCCGCGGUAUUCUGACCGUGCGAAGGUAGCAUAAUAAUUAGUCUCCUAAUUAGAGGCUGGUAUGAAUGGUCUGACAAGAUGGGAUCUGUCUCUGUACAAUGUAUAUAAUUUAAUAUUUAAGUAAAAAAGCUUAAAUGAGAUGAAGGGACGAUAAGACCCUAUAAAGCUUUAUGAUGUACAUUCGCUAAUGUUGAUUUUCGUAAUAUUAAAGCGUUAGAGAAUCAUAUCAUUUUACUGGGGCGGUAAAAGUAUAAAAGAAUAACUGCUUUUGUUGAAAUUAAACAAUGAUAGUUGGAGAAUAAAUUGAUCCAUUAAUAAUGAUCAUAAGAACAAGUUACUUUAGGGAUAACAGCGUAAUUUUUUUUGAGAGUUCAAAUCGAAAAAAAAGUUUGCGACCUCGAUGUUGAAUUAAGGGUACCUUAAGGUGCAGCAGUUUUAAAGGUAGAUCUGUUCGAUCUUUAAUUCCUUACGUGAUCU
rnacentral:rRNA from 1 species